GACGUAGGGCGCGAGCGUUGUCCGGAUUUAUUGGGCGUAAAGAGCUCGUAGGCGGCUUGUCGCGUCGACUGUGAAAACUUGGGGCUCAACCCCAAGCUUGCAGUCGAUACGGGCAGGCUAGAGUUCGGUAGGGGAGACUGGAAUUCCUGGUGUAGCGGUGAAAUGCGCAGAUAUCAGGAGGAACACCGAUGGCGAAGGCAGGUCUCUGGGCCGAUACUGACGCUGAGGCGCGAAAGCGUGGGGAGCGAACAGG
rnacentral:rRNA from 1 species